UGAAUUUUCUGAAUAUUCUUC
rnacentral:piRNA from 1 species